rnacentral:lncRNA from 1 species
GGAAGGGGUGGAGCUAGAACUGGACACCUCGGGGGUUUCCUGCUUUAUGGCGAAGGACGGAGUUUUGCUCUUGUUGCCCAAGCUGGAGUGCAAUGGUGCGAUCUUCGCUUACUGCAACCUCUGCUUCCUGGGUUCAAGUGAUUCCCCUGCCUCAGCCUCCCGAGUAGCAGGGAUUACAGAUGGAGCCUCGCUCUGUCACCCAGGCUGGAGUGCAGUGGCACAAUCUCGGGUCACUGCAACCUCCGCCCCCCAGCUUCAAGCGAUUCUCCUGUCUCAGCCUCCCGAGUAGCUAGGAUUACAGGUGCACGCCACCAGGCCUGGCUAAUUUUUAUAUUUUUAGUAGAGAUGGGAUUUUGCCUUGUUGGCCAGGCUGGUCUCAAACUCCUGACCUCAGGUGACCCAUCCACCUUGGCCUCCCAAAGUGCUGGGACUACAGGUGUGAGCCACCAUGCCUGGUCCCCCACUUGUUGAUUUUGCAGAAAAGAUAGCUGUGUUACAACCUGUCCUAAGGUCAGGUAUGAAUACUUGUGCUUCUUUCUUGGCUCCCCAAGCCAGAGGGCAUUCCUAUGCCCAGGUGAGAGAGCACGGAGUGUUACUUUGGCAGCACAGUCAGUUACCAGAGGUAGGAAAAGCAAAGGCCAGGCAGGACAUGAGGGGCCCUUGCACUGGCUGGUUCUCCCUGCCUUCACCACCCUCCAGGUGAAUGACUGGGUGAAUAAUGAUUGACUGAGGAGGUAAUGAAUAAUUUAUGGACACUGCUGGACCUCAGUCUCCUCAUCUGAAAGAUGAGUGGUUGGAGAAGUUUAAUGGUUUUCAAAUGCUUUUUUUUUCAGUCUUCAAAUAAGUGUUUACGUAGAAGCACCAUAUCUGAAACAGGUGACAGUGGACCAGUCUGAAUGAAAUGAGGGUUGGCAGGCCUGAGCUCCAAAACCUUCUGAUUGCCCAAGCCCUCCUUGUCUUGCUUGGAUUAUCUCCACACAAAUGGAGAAACUGGACAAGGUGGUCAUGGAGGUCCCUGAAAGCUCAAAGACUUUCUCAUUCCAGGAUUCCCCAUGUUCAUAUGCCAGCAUGGCAUGGGGGUGCUCUGUAGUCAAGCAGGGUCCUUUGGGGGGCUUAGGGAUGGAGCCAGGAAAUGGCUCUGGGACUCAGCGGGUGUCCAGAGUCUCAUCAGCAGGGUUUCUUUACUUUCACUGAGUGGCUGGUGCCUGCACACUGAGUUUUGCAGGCUUACUCUCACAGAGUGAGCUUCCUGCAGGCCCCCCACUGCAACCCCUUUCCUUCCUGGAGCUGUGUGCUGACUGGUGCGUGAGCACCCCAGGCCCUCUCCCCAUGCUGCUGAUGGUCAGCUUUCUCUGCACGCUCGUGGUUGCCACAGUCAACGCUGAUAAAAUUGCUGAUGCAGAUUGCCUGCCCAGCUGCGAGUGCUGGCACGGGACCAGCAGCCCAGACGGUCACUGGAAGUGGUUGGGCUGAUUAUUGGCAUCAUCUCCAUUGUCCUACUCGGUUCUUAAAGGCAUAUGGACUUGCCUCACUCCUACAGCAAAUGACGGCAUGGGCAAAGAGGGGCAACAGACCCACCCUGAAGACACUCCUCAUCUGGUUGACUUGGCAGGGUUAAGGGAAAAAGAUGUGAUGACUAGGAGCUGAGAGCUUAGUGGUUCUGCCAGAGCUGCAGAGUCUUUGUUGGCCUCAGGGUGGGACCUCUCACAUCUCUGUCAGCUUUUCACGGACACCAACCUGUUAUGAUUCAUUUCACCUGUCCUGAGCACUAGCAAGAAAAAUUCGCUGUAGCUUGUGAUGUAUUAUUCUGGAUUUCUCAACUCAUUCAUUUGUUCAUUCAUUCACUAUACCAUUACUGUCUAUUAUAAGGGGGGCACAAUGGUAGGUGCUGGGAAUAAAAACGAUGUUUAACGUUUCAUGAGGCUUCCCUGUCCUUAAGGAGUCCGCGUGUCUUUGUACCUGUCUGUCUGCUAGAUUAUUAAGUGACACUGUGAGAAGCUACUGAGAGCAGCAUGUGGGACAUGCAGAAGGGCAAGAGGCAGGAGAGAUGAUUCAUGUCGGAGGGGCAGGGGAGGACUGACGGAGAGGGUGAUGUUUGGCUGAGUCAUGAAGGCUAGUGGUAUUUUUCCAUGCAGAGAAGUGGGAGGAAAGGCAUUCUGUGUGGAGGGCACACAGUGUGCAAGGGCAGAGAGGUCAUUAUGUGAAGGCUUUGUGCUACUGCUUCAGAGUUGUGGAACGUGAUGUUGCAAUCUGGGAAAGACGCUGAUGGCAAGGGAUAGCAUCAUCAGGUUGUGCUGCCAUCCCUGAAAGGCCCAGGCUCAAAGGUUUUGGGUGAAGGAAGCCAGGAGGGUUAGAAAGGGAGGAAGAUGCCAGGGCAUCUGGUAAAAUAAAGCAUGUGUCAG